CGUGGGUGCGGAUCGUGUGGUCCAGUUCGGCCACGUCGGUGCCGUCGCCCGGGGCGAUCACCAACCGGCCCCCGUUCAGCAGCGGGACCCACAGC
rnacentral:tRNA from 1 species